UUGCAUGUGGAAAUGCCUGCUCCUCAUUCCUUUGGGAACAGGAACAUAUCCAUGACAUGCUACAUUAAAAAAAAGGAGUUCUGCCAACCCUAGGAUAUUUCUCCUACACUA